GACGAACGCUGGCGGCGUGCUUAACACAUGCAAGUCGAACGCUGAAGCUUGGUGCUUGCACUGGGUGGAUGAGUGGCGAACGGGUGAGUAAUACGUGAGUAACCUGCCCUUGACUCUGGGAUAAGCCUGGGAAACUGGGUCUAAUACUGGAUACGACAUGUCACCGCAUGGUGGUGUGUGGAAAGGGUUUUACUGGUUUUGGAUGGGCUCACAGCCUAUCAGCUUGUUGGUGGGGUAAUGGCUCACCAAGGCGACGACGGGUAGCCGGCCUGAGAGGGUGACCGGCCACACUGGGACUGAGACACGGCCCAGACUCCUACGGGAGGCAGCAGUGGGGAAUAUUGCGCAAUGGGCGGAAGCCUGAUGCAGCGACGCCGCGUGAGGGAUGACGGCCUUCGGGUUGUAAACCUCUUUCAGCACGGAAGAAGCGAAAGUGACGGUACGUGCAGAAGAAGCGCCGGCUAACUACGUG
rnacentral:rRNA from 1 species